AACGCACGAGACCUGCGGACCUGCGGAGGGAUCAUUACAAAUCAGUAAAGUUGGGAAAGGGGAAGGGAGGGGUAGUGCUUAAUCGCAUUAUUCCCCCACCCUCAUUACCUAACAACUUUAACGCUUGUUGUGUUUGACAGAGUAAUUGUGACUUUUAAAAUGAGACAACUUUCAGCAAUGGAUCUCU
rnacentral:misc_RNA from 1 species